GAUCUGCCUUGCACUUCGGGAUAAGCCUGGGAAACCGGGUCUAAUACCGGAUAUGACCACGAGAUGCAUGUCUUGUGGUGGAAAGAUUUAUCGGUGCGAGAUGGGCCCGCGGCCUAUCAGCUUGUUGGUGAGGUAACGGCUCACCAAGGCGACGACGGGUAGCCGACCUGAGAGGGUGACCGGCCACACUGGGACUGAGACACGGCCCAGACUCCUACGGGAGGCAGCAGUGGGGAAUAUUGCACAAUGGGCGAAAGCCUGAUGCAGCGACGCCGCGUGCGGGAUGACGGCCUUCGGGUUGUAAACCGCUUUUGACAGGGACGAAGCGCAAGUGACUGUACCUGUAGAAUAAGGACCGGCCAACUACGUGCCAGCAGCCGCGGUAAUACGUAGGGUCCGAGCGUUGUCCGGAAUUACUGGGCGUAAAGAGCUUGUAGGCGGUUCGUCGCGUCGUUUGUGAAAACUUGGGGCUCAACCUUAAGCUUGCAGGCGAUACGGGCGGACUAGAGUACUUCAGGGGAGACUGGAAUUCCUGGUGUAGCGGUGAAAUGCGCAGAUAUCAGGAGGAACACCGGUGGCGAAGGCGGGUCUCUGGGAAGUAACUGACGCUGAGAAGCGAAAGCAUGGGUAGCAAACAGGAUUAGAUACCCUGGUAGUCCAUGCCGUAAACGGUGGGUACUAGGUGUGGGGCUCCUUCCACGGACUCCGUGCCGUAGCUAACGCAUUAAAGUACCCCGCCUGGGGAGUACGGCCGCAAGGCUAAAACUCAAAAGAAAAUUGACGGGGGCCCGCACAAGCGGCGGAGCAUGUGGAUUAAUUCGAUGCAACGCGAAGAACCUUACCUGGGUUUGACAUACACCGGAAACCUGCAGAGAUGUAGGCCCCCUUGUGGUCGGUGUACAGGUGGUGCAUGGCUGUCGUCAGCUCGUGUCGUGAGAUGUUGGGUUAAGUCCCGCAACGAGCGCAACCCUUAUCUUAUGUUGCCAGCGCGUAAUGGCGGGGACUCGUGAGAGACUGCCGGGGUCAACUCGGAGGAAGGUGGGGACGACGUCAAGUCAUCAUGCCCCUUAUGUCCAGGGCUUCACACAUAAUACAAUGGCCGGUACAGAGGGCUGCGAUACCGCGAGGUGGAGCGAAUCCCUUAAAGCCGGUCUCAGUUCGGAUCGGGGUCUGCAACUCGACCCCGUGAAGUUGGAGUCGUUAGUAAUAGCAGAUCAGCAACGCUGCGGUGAAUACGUUCCCGGG
rnacentral:rRNA from 1 species